CCCUUAGAUGUUCUGGGCCGCACGCGUGCUACACUGAGUGGAUCAGCGGGUCAGGUUGCGCGAAAGUGUUUCCUAAUCUUUAAAUCCGCUCGUGAUGGGGAUUGACGGUUGCAAUUUUCCGUCAUGAACGAGGAAUACCUUGUAAGCGCGGGUCAUCAUCCCGCGCUGAAUACGUCCCUGCCCUUUGGACACACCGCCCGUCGCUCCUACCGAUUGAGUGGUCCGGUGAGGCUUUGGGAUCUGAGCGGAAAGAGCGUUUCGCUGUUUCUGCCCGGAAAACUCAGUCGAACCUUAUCAUUUAGAGGAAGGAGAAGUCGUAACA
rnacentral:rRNA from 1 species